rnacentral:piRNA from 2 species
AAUAGUCUGAUAACCCAAGUGAGC